ACAUAUUUUGCUGCAAGAAAUGCGUCCAGCGUGUAACUUCAUUCAUUGUCGUGAAAAUACCAGUGUCCAGCAUUUACAGCUUCAUCGACAAGCAGUACGACACUUCGCGUCUGCUACAAGAAGGUGAAUCGGUAUUUGAAGCUGGCCACGUUGUCGCCUGCAGCGUAAAACAAAUUAACGUAAAGAAGAAGAAGUGACACUGGCUGGGCUGAUUCUGCAGACAUCAUCUGUAAACAAGGACCCUCACGAGCUGCAAUUUACAGUAAACGAAAGACAGGUGACAGCGGCAUCAUGCACUUGCAAAGCAGGGCAGCACAAGUGUAAGCACAUGAUAGCACUACUACUGCACAUUCCUGUGACAGAAACAUUUGACGUCCUUUCUUCUACUGAUAUGCCUCAGCAAUGGGGUAAAAAACAGCAGAGAGAUGCAAGAAAGAAGUAUAAACCAAGGUUGAUUGCAGAGUUACGACGCUCGAAAAAGGAAAAAAUGCUGGUGCAUCAAGAGCAUCUCCUCUAGCUGUAAGGCAAGAUAAGUCGGAGGGAACGUGCAGGUCUCCAGCAUCCCCAGCAACCACUCGACAGGAGAACAGUAACGCAAUUGUAGAGCAGCAAACACUCACUGAAGCAGUUGCACAAGCAGUGGCAAAUGGAGCCAGGUCAGCAGAUGAGAUGUCAGUUGCAUUCAGCAUACAUUCACCGACUCAAACAUAGAAGAAAUCACUUCCAUAACAACACAACAAGCAGAUUCACUGCACUUGAUGCUGUACAGAAGAGGGAUGGUGACAGCCUCCAUUGCUUAUUCUGUUUACACAAGGGGGCACACAUUAAGGACAAAAAUGGGGCCUCAUAACGUGUGGCCUCUUUUGAAGUCUAUAAUGAGAGAGCACAAUGUUCAAACUUCUGCAAUGUCCCGAGGGAUUUUGCUAAAAAAGACAGCAAAAGAGGUCUACACAGCCAUUGCGUCGCAUACAAGUCUUCAAGUGAAAGACACUGGCCUCCUAAUUUCAAAUGAGCACCCCUGUAUUGGUGCAUCCCCAGAUGGGCUGGUCACUUGCGAUUGCUGCCCGCAGCGGACUCUAGAGGUUAAAUGUCCAAUUAGCCUGAGAAAUUCAAACAGAAGGAUAUUGCAGUGUCCAAGGAUGAAAAUGUGUACCUUAAGAAAACCAGCAAGUAUUUCUGCCAAGUUCAAAUUCAAAUGAUGCUUGCAAAAGUUCACAGGAGUGACUUUUUUGUGUUUCAAGACGCUGAACACUUUCUUAUAUUUUCUGUUGAUCUUGAUCAAGUCUUUUGCAAUUCUGUUGUAGAAAGGGCUGUGUACUUCUUCAAAUCCUAUGUUUUGCCACAUAUAGCACAGUAAAACGUUACAAGAUGCCUAAUAGGUGUUGUUUAAGCCACAUGCACAUCUUAAUAACACUCUAGUUCGCAAGACCAACUAGAUAACAUAAACAGUGCAAUAGAGAAUGUGAGGUUUCGUAAUAAUAUCAUGGUGUUUGUUUGCUUGUGCCACACUGUGCUCUGCGAGGGAUGCUGUACUGGUGUUUCUAACUCUUUGGUGUUUUUAUGUCGUGCAUCUGUGUGAGUACUUGAGAGAGCUGCACAUUAAUGAUGUUGCAUUUCAUGAUGCCACACUGCAUUCAGGGGUGCUAAAUUGCGGACUACAGUUAUGUCGAUCAAUAGUGUUUUUAAUGUGCAGCUUGCUCUUUAUGUAAAUAAAUACUUUUGCAUUGCAUUC
rnacentral:lncRNA from 1 species